AUAGCCUGGGGGGGUGACGUUUUUUUUUUUUUUUUAGGACUAGACCCCAGCUAUAUUUAACUCCUAAGUUAUUUGGUUCAAACAAAGGGAUUGGUGUGGCUAAACAUUAGGUACCUUUUGAUAUUCUAAAAUCUCCGGGGGGCUGGCAUCUAGAUGCUGGGGUGGGGAGGUCUCGACAUCGCUGGGCUGAUUGACUUUUUAAAACCCUACAGCAUCUGUUUUAGACCCUAAAACAUAAAUUAUGUUUUGACAUGUUGUUAAUGAUUCGUAAGUGGCCGUAAGACAAAGACACACUUUUUUGUUUGGGGGUCGGCCUCUGUUUUGACGUAUAUUGUAAAGAGAGAGAGAGAGAGAGCCUUGAGCGCAGACGCCUGGCCAUUUCUGAACACACACCCCGCCCCGUUUUCUUUGUUUUGAAACACACACAUACGCAUACACUCCAGCACACGCACGCACACACACACGCGCGCGCACAUGGCUUUUUCUGCAAGUUUUUUUCUCCGGGGGCAUGCUUGGUGAUAGAAGUUAAGGACUUAUUCCUAUCGUUAGAAGAUAUAGGUCCUGGUUAGCCCCUGACCAUUAUCCGAUCGCUAAGACGCUUGCACACUCCCUCAAAGCUCCGUAAGUUUUCCCUCCAUGGGUAGAUAAUCCGUCCGUCAUGUAAAUCCUGGGGUAUGCACCCAGCUUUAAUGAAUAAGAUGGGUAGAAAAUGAAUCUGUUUAAGUCCUAAGUAAAGGCCUUUCAUAAAGAGGCUGUCAUGAUUGACUGUGGCCCAUAUUUAACACGUAUUGCUUGUUACAGAAGACCCCUGUUGUACAUUGAAUAUCCAAUAGCCGAUUUUUGGAGCAUCUCCACUAUAUCUGUCAUGUUACUGUGGUCUUUUUAAAAGUCAAUAAACAUGUGUGUAAAAUGUACACUUUUGUUUCACUGUAGAUUGUUUAAGCCCACCUAGAAACACCUGAUUUAUCCCACAGCAUCAAUGAAUAAGCUGCGUAUAAAAUUAUUCUGUUUAAGUCAUAAGUAAAGGCCUUUCAUAAAGAGGCUGUCAUGAUUGACUGUGGCCCAUAUUUAACACGUAUUGCUUGUUACAGAAGACCCCUGUUGUACAUUGAAUAUCCAAUAGCCGAUUUUUGGAGCAUCUCCACUAUAUCUGUCAUGUUACUGUGGUCUUUUUAAAAGUCAAUAAACAUGUGUGUAAAAUGUA